rnacentral:rRNA from 1 species
UGACCACUUCGGUGGGGAUUAGUGGCGAACGGGUGAGUAACACGUGGGCAAUCUGCCCUGCACUCUGGGACAAGCCCUGGAAACGGGGUCUAAUACCGGAUAUUGACCUUCACGGGCAUCUGUGAGGUUCGAAAGCUCCGGCGGUGCAGGAUGAGCCCGCGGCCUAUCAGCUUGUUGGUGAGGUAAUGGCUCACCAAGGCGACGACGGGUAGCCGGCCUGAGAGGGCGACCGGCCACACUGGGACUGAGACACGGCCCAGACUCCUACGGGAGGCAGCAGUGGGGAAUAUUGCACAAUGGGCGAAAGCCUGAUGCAGCGACGCCGCGUGAGGGAUGACGGCCUUCGGGUUGUAAACCUCUUUCAGCAGGGAAGAAGCGAAAGUGACGGUACCUGCAGAAGAAGCGCCGGCUAACUACGUGCCAGCAGCCGCGGUAAUACGUAGGGCGCAAGCGUUGUCCGGAAUUAUUGGGCGUAAAGAGCUCGUAGGCGGCUUGUCACGUCGGUUGUGAAAGCCCGGGGCUUAACCCCGGGUCUGCAGUCGAUACGGGCAGGCUAGAGUUCGGUAGGGGAGAUCGGAAUUCCUGGUGUAGCGGUGAAAUGCGCAGAUAUCAGGAGGAACACCGGUGGCGAAGGCGGAUCUCUGGGCCGAUACUGACGCUGAGGAGCGAAAGCGUGGGGAGCGAACAGGAUUAGAUACCC